rnacentral:rRNA from 1 species
UACGUAGGGGGCAAGCGUUGUCCGGAUUUACUGGGCGUAAAGAGCGUGUAGGCGGCCAAACAGGUCCGUUGUGAAAACUGGAGGCUUAACCUCCAGACGUCGACGGAAACCGUAUGGCUAGAGUCCGGAAGAGGAGAGUGGAAUUCCUGGUGUAGCGGUGAAAUGCGCAGAUAUCAGGAAGAACACCUAUGGCGAAGGCAGCUCUCUGGGACGGUACUAACGCUGAGACGCGAAAGCGUGGGGAGCGAACAGG